ACCACGUUCGACGUGUUGCCUCUCUGUCGCACUUAUAAAUUCGUACGUAAGUAUGACAGGGAGGCAACACGUCGAACGUGGUUCGCGGUAGGCCCUCUGUUCUGUGAUUGUUAGGCAAACACAAACAUUUUUUUUUACAACGGACGCCCACGAGUAUUCCUCUGCGUUGAAGUCAUUGUUGAAGUUUGAAAACUCAUAAAGUUUUGUUUUGUGAGUGAAACCGUGAAUAAUACUAAAUAAAAAUGUGUGACAGUGAUGAAAAUAUGUUGCCCACUACUCCUCAGGAAAUAUUAAAGCCUUUUCCGUUUAUGUUGUUCCGUUGUUUGCUAUUUUGACAACUUGAAAAGUUUUAUCGGCAGUUUGCGUGUUAUUACUGUGUAGUGUUUGGCCAAACCGCCGCUACCACUUUUGAAAGGAUGCCACCCAAAAAUCCAAAAAUGUAAGUUACACAAAACAAAAAGAAUUUAUUUGCAGAAAAAUAUAGCUAUUUGCCAGUUCCUUUGAUCGUUAACUUAUGUGACUGUUUUUUUUCAGUCGCUCGAACGCAGCACAAAUUAGAUUGCUCGUUGAAUACAUGUCACAGCACACCCGGUUCGCCAACCGGGAAUUUGACGGGCCUCUAAGGACCCCAGAGGUACGAGGCGCAAUGGGAGGCCCUUGCACAGGCCUUAAGGGAGCACGGGCCCAAUAAGUCAGUGCAGGCAUGGAAAGUGGUAAGUAAAUAUGCUUCCCAUAGUUAAGAUUUCCAUCACUUAGUCCGCAUAGAAGUCUUCCUAAACAAGACACUUUUUUAUAUAUAAUAUUGAAUGAAAUUACAGUGCAAUCUGUGCAUAGUAAUAAAAUGAAGUAUAAUAACUAAUAAAAUUAACAUCUUAAUGAUUACUGAGGUCAUGAUAAUGCAGGUCAAAGAGUCAGUUGCUUAUUAUAAUGUUUUCUAAAAAAGGUAUUUAAUAUGUAUAGUUUUGCUGUAGUGACCCACUAGGCUAAACCGGUCGUCGAACAUUUGAUUUGAUUUUAAUUUCUUAAUAAUAUUUAUGAAGUGAGUAAUCUAAGCUUUCUUAUUUCUCUUUGCUUAAACUAAGAUCAUGAAGAGUUUAUUGUGUCUUGUUAUUUUGUUGAGCUAAUGUCAGGCUAAGUAAAGUUUCUAAAAGUACUUUGCGAUACAAGUGCAAAAAGUAGGAAAUUACCUUUUUGCACGUAUAUUGUACAUACAAAGUCUUACAGUACAUAUGGCCCUUUUCAAUAUACGCAUGUAUAGUGCUAGUUACUGCACUAGGGCGGUAAAGUAGCACAAUAUGUAUUGUAAUAGUACAUUACGAUACAAGUGCGAAAAAUUAGAUGUUUAUUAGUUUAUUUGCAAUGCCCUAACAGGGUGCCAUGUGUUUUCACACUCUAAUAUAACAACUAUUAUGUACCAUGGUUUCGCAAUAAAGAUUUCUAUUUCUAUAAAAUAGGAAAUUUAUUUAUUUAAUUAAUUAUUUAAUUAAACCUUUGGGAAACAAACAGGCAAAAACAACACACAUAGUUAAUCAGAUUACACAUCCACAAGCCAAACAGUUUCCACUAAUGAGUAAUAACAAUUAUGUUGCUCAGAAAUUAACAUUAAUAUCAAAACAUGCAAAACUCAAAUAACUCUAACUGUUGAAAACAAUAUUAACAAAUUGGCAAGUAUGCUGAAAUAUAGUAACUAAUCAAUAUUAUUAUUAGCUGUACAUUUUAUUGCAGAAACAAACUGUUGUAAUGAUAAAUGGAAUAUAUCAAUAUCAGAAAAUUUUUCAUUGUAAGUUCUACACACUCUAGCUAAGAACUUAUUUCUUGCAUAUGUAGUACGACCAAAGUUAAUUGCAAAUAGGUUUGUGGAGCGAGUUCGCCGAUCAGGACAUCGAAUUGAAAUUUUAGACAAAAGAUUGGGAGAAUCAAUAAGGCCAUGUAUGAUUUUGAACAAAAAUAUCUGAUCUCGAAUUUCUCUACGGGUUUGAAGAGAGAAAUUGUCAGGGCAAAAAGAUUUAAAUUUAUAUUUCAUUGUUCUGAUAAAUUUGUUCUGAUUUUUUUCAAUUGUGUUAAUGUGAACAUUGAAAUGAGGAUUCCAGACUGUAGUAGCAUAUUCUAAAUUGGACCUAACAAAUGCGUUAAAGAGAAGUUGCAGAGUCUUAGGGUUUGUAAAAUCCCUGCUUUGUCAGAAAAUGAAUCCCAACAUUCUGUAUGCUUUUGCUGAAAUUUUGUAAAAUAUGUGAAAUAAAUUGUAGUUCGCUAUCAAGAUUUAACCCCAGGUAACACUUCAGACACAACCCUUAAAUUUUUGUUGUUUAAUGAAUAAUUAUACUCUAUCUUAUUGCGUUUUCUUGUAAAUGUAAUGGCACAGCAUUUUUCGACAUUCAAGUACAGUUCAUUCAUAGAACAAUAUAAACUCAGUCUAUCAAGAUCAGCUUGAAGUUUCGUACAAUCAUCACUUGAUUUAAUAAUGGUGUAUAUUUUAGUAUCGUCGGCAUAUAAUAAUAAGUCAGAAAAUUUGAAACGAGUGGCGAUAAAUUAAAACACGACUGAAGGGAGUGUUUUAAAUUGACACGAGUUGCGAAUUACCUAUUCGCACAUGUAUCGUACAACGUUUUACAGUACAUAGGUACCCUUUAAAUGUUGGACACAGUAACGUAAUAUGCUAAUUUUCGCACUAGUGCGGUAAAGUAGCACCAUAUGUACUGUAAAAACUGUUUUAAUACUAUUAAUAAGUAUAGUUAGUAUAUUAAUUUUGCCAUAAUCGCAUGCAGUUAUGACUAUGGGUAUAAAUAUUGUUGAAUUUAUAUAGCCGAGUCCACACAGAGCGACCGAGGAGGCGCGUGCGUUUUCCUUGCCCGAGCGCACGUCUACACUGGCCAGUUUGUGCGUGAGAAUAUUGCCUCACGCGUAUGCUCGCUCUGUGUGGACCCGGCUAAUCAUGUAUAAAUGGCAACAGAUUUUAUUCUCUAGGCGGGCACCUGCUCCCCGCUGGCGACACCCUUGCAGAAGCUAGCAUUUUCAGAUAUAUUUACUUUUUAAGUUUUUGGUUUGGUUUAACCGGAAUUAUUUUUACCCGACUAUGAGAAUGGGAAGGGUUAUGAUUUUAGCAGUCUACGUAUGGAUGCCGUAUAGAUGCCGGUAUGUUUUUGUUGUGUAUAAAUUACUAAUCAAUUUUGGUGAAUGUGUUUAUAGGCUCAUUUUUAUGGGGUGACAUAGACUACAUAAUAAUGUUUAACUGACUUUGGACAAGGAAGAGGUGCUUUAGUUAAGAAAAAAAUCAUAGUCGGGAUAUCCUGAACGAACUGAAAAUUUUUAAUGAGGCGCAGAAACAAAUAUUGAGUGUUUUGAAGGAGCGGAACGACUUGUUGGCGAAUCGUAUUAACACAUUGGAGGACGCCGAGAUUAUUGAUAACUUGGAAGACACAGUUAUAAUGGAAGAGGAAGACGUCUGAGCUAAGCGCUGUCCUCGCACCCUCCGUCUAGUUUACGUUUGCGGCCAUAUCAAAAUACACACUGUAUGUUUAUUAGGGUUCCGUACCAAAAAGGUACAAAAGGAACCCUUAUGGUGCUAUUGCUAAAUAUCUCGAGAAGUACUUAAGCUAUAGAUGUGAAAUUUGGAAUAGUAAUGAAUAACGCUGACCCAAACAUAUUGGAUGUGUAUUUAUUUUAUUUUAUUUGUAUUAAUAAUGGAAAAUUCCCAAUAUGAAGAGGGGGCAAAAUUUCAAAGUCUAGUUAAAUGGGUCAAGUGGGGUAUCAUUUGAAAGAGCUCGAAUUGAAAAUUACAAAACAAUUUUUUAUUUUCAUAGUAAAAAAAAUUUGACUUAUGAAGGAAAAUGUGAUAAAUAAUACCAUUCCCCCCACUCUUAUCU